rnacentral:rRNA from 1 species
GAUGAACGCUAGCGGCAGGCCUAAUACAUGCAAGUCGAACGGGUGGUCGCAAGACCACUAGUGGCGCACGGGUGCGUAACGCGUAACCAACCUGCCCCGAUCUGGGGGAUAGCCCGCCGAAAGGCGGAUUAAUACCGCAUAUACCCGCAGCCUGGCAUCAGGCAACGGGGAAAGAUUUAUUGGAUCGGGAUGGGGUUGCGUGACAUUAGCUAGUUGGCGGGGUAAGGGCCCCCCAAGACGACGAUGUCUAGGGGACCUGAGAGGGUGAUCCCCCACACUGGCACAGAGAGACGGGCAAGACACGUACGGGAGGAAGCAGUAGGGAAAAAUGGGCAAUGAGCGAGAGCCUGACCCAGCCAUGCCGAGUGACGGAUGAAGGCCUGCUGGGUUGUAAACGGCUUUUAUCAGGGAAGAAAAAGACCUUGCGAGGUACAAUGACGGUACCUGAGGAAUAAGCACCGGCUAACUCCGUG